GCCUGGCUGGCUCAGUCAGGAGGGCAUGUGACUCUUGAUCUGAGGGUCAUGAGUUUAAGCCCCAUGUUGGGCA
rfam:Felis catus isolate Cinnamon breed Abyssinian chromosome B4, whole genome shotgun sequence.